UACGAAGGGGGCGAGCGUUGUUCGGAAUUACUGGGCGUAAAGGGCGCGUAGGCGGCGAUCCGAGUCAGAUGUGAAAGUCCUGGGCUUAACCUGGGGACUGCAUUUGAUACUGGAUUGCUUGAAUUCGGGAGAGGAUAGCGGAAUUCCCAGUGUAGAGGUGGAAUUCGUAGAUAUUAGGAAGAACACCAGUGGCGAAGGCGGCUCACUGGUCCGGUACUGACGCUGAGGUGCGAAAGCGUGGGGAGCAAACAGG
rnacentral:rRNA from 1 species